rnacentral:rRNA from 1 species
GAUGAACGCUGGCGGCGUGCCUAAUACAUGCAAGUCGAGCGAACAGACGAGGAGCUUGCUCCUCUGACGUUAGCGGCGGACGGGUGAGUAACACGUGGAUAACCUACCUAUAAGACUGGGAUAACUUCGGGAAACCGGAGCUAAUACCGGAUAAUAUAUUGAACCGCAUGGUUCAAUAGUGAAAGACGGUUUUGCUGUCACUUAUAGAUGGAUCCGCGCCGCAUUAGCUAGUUGGUAAGGUAACGGCUUACCAAGGCAACGAUGCGUAGCCGACCUGAGAGGGUGAUCGGCCACACUGGAACUGAGACACGGUCCAGACUCCUACGGGAGGCAGCAGUAGGGAAUCUUCCGCAAUGGGCGAAAGCCUGACGGAGCAACGCCGCGUGAGUGAUGAAGGUCUUCGGAUCGUAAAACUCUGUUAUUAGGGAAGAACAAAUGUGUAAGUAACUAUGCACGUCUGGACGGUACCUAAUCAGAAAGCCACGGCUAACUACGA